rnacentral:rRNA from 1 species
UACGGCGGGGGUUAGCGUUGUUCGGAAUUACUGGGCGUAAAGCGCACGUAGGCGGACUGGAAAGUCAGAGGUGAAAUCCCAGGGCUCAACCUUGGAACUGCCUUUGAAACUCCCGGUCUUGAGGUCGAGAGAGGUGAGUGGAAUUCCGAGUGUAGAGGUGAAAUUCGUAGAUAUUCGGAGGAACACCAGUGGCGAAGGCGGCUCACUGGCUCGAUACUGACGCUGAGGUGCGAAAGAGUGGGGAGCAAACAGG